rnacentral:rRNA from 1 species
GGCCCUACGGGGCGCAGCAGGCGCGAAACCUUUACACUGCACGACAGUGCGAUAGGGGGAUUCCRAGUGCGACAGGCAUAUAGCCUGCGCUUUUCUGUACCGUAAGGUGGUACAGGAAUAAGGGCUGGGCAAGACCGGUGCCAGCCGCCGCGGUAAUACCGGCAGYCCAAGUGAUGGCCGAUAUUAUUGGGCCUAAAGCGUCCGUAGCUGGCCGCGCAAGUCCAUUGGGAAAUCCACCCGCUCAACGGGUGGGCGUCCGGUGGAAACUGYGYGGCUUGGGRCCGGAAGGCUCGACGGGUACGUCCGGGGUAGGAGUGAAAUCCCGUAAUCCUGGACGGACCGCCGAUGGCGAAAGCACGUCGCGAGGGCGGAUCCGACAGUGAGGGACGAAAGCCAGGGUCUCGAACCGGAUUAGAUACCCGGGUAGUCCUGGCUGUAAACAAUGUUCGCUAGGUGUGGCUCACGCUACGAGCUGCGUGCUGUGCCGUAGGGAAGCCGAUAAGCGAGCCGCCUGGGAAGUACGUCCGCAAGGAUGAAAACUUAAAGGAAUUGGCGGGGG